rnacentral:rRNA from 1 species
UACGGAGGGUGCAAGCGUUAUCCGGAUUCACUGGGUUUAAAGGGAGCGUAGGCGGGUUGAUAAGUCAGUGGUGAAAUCUUCGAGCUUAACUCGGAAACUGCCAUUGAUACUAUCAGUCUUGAAUAUUGUGGAGGUUAGCGGAAUAUGUCAUGUAGCGGUGAAAUGCUUAGAUAUGACAUAGAACACCAAUUGCGAAGGCAGCUGGCUAGGCAUAUAUUGACACUGAGGCUCGAAAGCGUGGGGAUCAAACAGG